UUGAAUGUGAAUUGAUUUAUGUUUGGAUACACUUAAUUAGAAGUGAUUCUUGUUGGUUGAUAUUGUUUGGAUAA
rnacentral:pre_miRNA from 1 species